AUAAAAAUAGAAAUAAAAUUUCUUUCUCUCUCUCUCUCUCUCUCUUUCUCUCUCGUUUUAUUCAAUUCUUAGACGACAGAAUCACGAUCCAUAUCGUCUACGAUUUUCAUCUCGAUCGAUGGAAGAUGAGGGGAAGGCAGGAAACAGAAGAAUAUUGAUUACGUUGUUCGAGUACGUGCUCGCAGAAGAACGAUAUUCCUCUUCCUUCUUUUUUCUCUCUCUCUUUUUUUUCCCUCUCCGUUUACCUUGGCUCCACUGGAAUGCGUCGAAGAUAAGUCGAACAACGAAGGAAAGAGGUUUUGUUUUUUCCAAUGGAAAUAUCGUGUACAGGUGCGCACGGAACGGACGGAAAGAGUGGUUAACGAAGGAAGGAAACCUCGAGCUCGUAUCAUCCGCUCGAAUACGUGUACGUAUUUCGAUCGAAAAAGACCAACGUAUGCAAAAUUGGCCGCCACUUCAGCCACGAAUGCUUGCCAAUCCACGAUAUAGUUAUACCGUGUAUAUAGACCACGAUUACGCGAAUAUAUCAACUUGUACAAUUUAUCGACGAGUCUAGCGUUCCGUCGAUAAACUAAAAAGACGCGAGAAUCGAUUCGAUGGCGAGAGAGAGACUUCUCGAAACUUGUGUGUCACACUUGGAUUAUCCGAUUAUCUUUCACGCGUAGGAAUUGCAAGAUUGGACACGAUUUCUCAUUUCGUUCUAUAUAAAUCCAUGCAAACUCGAAACAAACGAGUUUUGGAACGUGACCGGGUGAAAUACGAUAGUGUUCAAAAUUAUUGGAUACGAUUGUUCGGUGUUUCUUUAAGUCUUCCCAAGUUGAAAUAACAAAAGGAUAAUAUAGGAAAAUUUCUAGAAUAUUUCGAAUUCUUCACGCGGCGAGACGUGUAAUAGCCUUAAAAUUAUAUCGGAUAAGAUUCUACUAAGACUUCGUAGCCUCGUAAGGCUAACCUAACCUAAUCACGCGACAACGAUACAUGUAUAGACGUGUAAUUUACCAAAUCGAAAAGUGAAAGUGCGAGAGACUAUGUAGCCGAAAUGAAACCGAGUUCUCACGAAAGAACAACUUGAUCGACGAUUCGAAAAGAAGAGAAGAGAAGAAGUGAAAAUAAAUGAGACGAAAGAAAGAAAGAUGGCAUAAGCGACGCACAGGCCACUUCGAAUCAAAAACCGAUAUCGUGCCGUUCAAACGUUCGGUAAACAAAUGGCAUUUUGCCAGUUUCGAGGCAAUACACCGAUUGGCAGCGCACCAAUUUAUCACGUGACCGGUUAACGAGCCAAUAGAUUUCGUAGAACGUCACUGACGUAUUUAACCCGGA